rnacentral:rRNA from 1 species
UCGAGAAUCUUCGGCAAUGGACGAAAGUCUGACCGAGCGACGCCGCGUGGAGGAUGAAGGCCUUCGGGUUGUAAACUCCUGUUGGGGGUGAGCAAAUUUUGAGCGAACCCCUGAGGAAGCACGGGCUAAGUUCGUGCCAGCAGCCGCGGUAAGACGAACCGUGCGAACGUUAUUCGGAAUCAUUGGGCUUAAAGGGCGCGUAGGCGGCGGCGUAAGUUGGAAGUGAAAUCCCAUCGGCUCAACCGUGGAAUCGCUCCCAGUACUGCGUCGCUCGAGGGGGAUAGGGGUCUGCGGAACUACCGGUGGAGCGGUGAAAUGUGUUGAUAUCGGUGGGAACGCCAGUGGCGAAAGCGGCAGACUUGACCCUUCCUGACGCUGAGGCGCGAAAGCUAGGGGAGCAAACGG